UCAUCUGCGCUUCCCCAUAAAAUUACACCCCAUUCCAGACUGUCACCUUCAACGUCUCUAUCCAUAAUUUGACCCACUUCUUCCCAUUCUACCCUCAACCUCCCUAUCAUCACCACUUGAACUUAUCCGUUCUUAGCUGUCAUGCUUUUGUCACAUAGCUACCCCACAAAACAAAGCCAACCCUCACUUAUUUCCACAAAGGUUGCACUUUCUUCUUGUGCCUUGUCUCUCUCUUUUUCAACACUCUCCCACACCACUUCACAAGCUUUCCUCUUACGCAUCACCAAAAAACACAUUAGAAUCUCGCGCGUGGACUACACACGAAAGAUUUUAACGUGGGAGUAAUAAAAAAAAACAGUACCGUUCGAAGGGUUCCUCUAAAAUAUAUCGUAGAUAUCGUUGGAGUAUUGAGUCGCUCUUAAGUCUUAGUCUACUGAUUAAAAAAACUCCAUACCAUAAAUCGUUUUAGAAUUUUGUUAAAUUAACCAAAAUUUCCUACUUCACGAUCCUAGAAUUUACAUAAUUGAUUAUCUUUCUGUUGUCUCUCUAAGCCUUGUUUGAUUUGGUGAAAUAAAUAUACGAUGCUUAUAGGUCCAUUGUAUUUGUACUCGACCGGAACAAAGCAACAUCUGUAUGUGGAGAAGGGUGCCUUAGUAAAAGAUAUGGCUGCGCAUAUGAGCCUAUUUUUGGAGAUGGCGUCCUAAGAGCCAAUGGUGAAACAUAGGUCUAUCAAAGGAAUGUUAUUAUUGCUGAAUUAUUCAUGAGCAAAAUUAAGACAAUGUUAUAUAGUAUAAAAGAUUCUGAUAUGGAAAUUGUCAAAAAAAUGGAAUAAAUCUAUAGAAGAAAAUAAAAGAAGAACCGUGGACUUGGUGAUUGAACAUAACUUGGCGAUUAAACGUGAUAAGAAGGUUCUUUUGGAGGAUUUCAUUCAAAGGCUUAUUUUAGUAGCAAUUAUGAAGAAGGACUUUUUGAAAGAUUGGAUGCAAUGCAAGCUAAACUUGAAAAGACCAGUACACUUUUUGGAUUUCUAAACCUAAGUUUUCUUCCAACUAAUGAGAACAAUAAGGUAUGGAAGAUGAAGAUAGAGGUGGAUGUGUUGAUAAUGAAAAUGAUCAAUGAUCGUGAAAUCUAAAAUAAAAAUAAGAACAAUGAUGAGAAAUCAAGUGAUCUAUUACAAAAAAAUAAUAGAAAGUUCCAAAAUUAAUACAGUUUUAAAUGAAAAUGGUGUUUUUUCAAGACGAAGUAUGACAUGAAUCGAUUUACUAUAUAUCUUUGCCAAAAAUAUCUACUUUGCUAGCUCUGAGUCAACCGCUCUCCUUGCAUCUUGCAACUACUUGGGCAUUGUGGCUCAUUGCAUAAUAUCAUGAAUGACAACAACGUUUCCGAUCUGAGAUUUUGGAAGCAUUUGAUUACAAGUUGCCUCAUUCUAAAUGUGAGGAUGACAAACUUCAAAAGCUGAAAUUGCUAACAUUGGUGAUUCAAGAGAGUUUACGUCUUUAUGGGCCAACCAUAACUAACUCAAGAGGAACUUUUGUUGGCAUGAAAUUCAGAGAUCUUUUGGUACGUAAAGGCACCUAUUUGUGGAUGUUUGUGCCAACACUUCAUCAUUGGGGACCAGAUGCUGCAUAAUUCAAGCCAGAAAGAUUUGCAAAUGGUCUUAGUAAAGCUUGUAAAUAUCCUCAAGCUUAUCUUCCAUUCGGAUUUGGGUGCCGCAAUUUCUUAGGCCAAAAAUUUACCAUGACAGAAAUUAAGAUUGUGAUUAGUCUUAUCCUCUAUCAUUUUUCCUUUGAGGUUUCACUAGGUUAUCGCCAUUGCCCCGUCUCUAAUUUGUUGUUAAUUCCAAGGUAUGGUAUAAGACUUCUUGUUACCAGGCUUAACCACACAAACAAAUGUUCCCUAAUUUAUCAGGUUACAUCUAAUAAAAAUAAAGCAUUAAGUGUAGAACAAGGCUUGCAGAUCAUCCUUUGGUAUUGGGAGUAAACGUCAAUCACCUUCAGAUGCUAAUGUAUAUAAAAACAAAAGAGGAGAGAUAAAAUCUUAGUGAGAGAUAAAAGGAGGGGUAGUUUAAAAAUAUUCCUUUCAUAAUAUGCAUAAAAACAUGAAAUUAUGAUGCAUUUCAUGUUGAAACUCUUAACUUCAAAUUUUAAUUAAAGCUCAAAUGAAAUCAAAGCGUAAAAGAGGGGGUGUCUAUGGUAUGAUUCUGUAACGAGAGUGAGUAAGGAAGGAAACCACCUAAUCAUGGAAACAACUGAAUCAAAGCAACCUAUUACCAUCACAUCUUCGAUAUCUCUUCCCAAAACCUGUAAAAAGACCGAUUCCCAUAAGAUAGAAAAUCUUAUUGAAUAUACUUAUGUUCCUGAUGAUAUACAAACUGCUGAAACUAUACCACAUCUUCUGAACCCUUAAAAUAUCUUUAAAAGACAAAGAUCUUUCACCAGAUCUAUCAAAAACUUAAUCACAACUCACCAUCCUCACAUGAAAAAAUAUAUUCAGUCUUCAUGACUUGAUCAGUGUAGCCUCAGGAAGACAAAUCAAGAGCAGUAUGUUGAUUUAGAGAUUCCUCAAAAUCUUAUAAAUCAUUGGAAAAAUGAAGGAUACACAACCUACACUUAAGAGCUGUCAGAUUGAUCAUUUCUCUCCAUGGAAGGAAAAAUCUCCUAGUUUUCUGUAAGAUAGCGCUGUUAGACUCUAACUAUCUUCACUAUGAAAACGCAGUAAUCAAAAUUGUUCUGACUUCAUUGCAUGCAGGAGGUGUAGUUCUCACUAUCUUUCUAAACUACAACGUAAGUCUUAAUGAUAGUACUUAAUCCACAAGGCUAAAGGUCCAAGUUUAGAUUCCCAGAUCUGACCAAGUCCCAGAAGCCAUGUCGACCACUCUCCAUCACCAAAUAAUCUAUCGACUUCAAAAUUAUUCGAUAGAUUUACCACUCACGGGAUGUUCUUCGAAUUUGUUAUUAGUAAUCUCCAAUAAAGAAGAAGAAACAACCUCUAUUGUCCAAAUCCCUAGAAGAAUAUCAAGAGAAGAAUUAGCAAAGUUGAUUCCUCUUGAAUGGAUCACAAACUACGAAAAGAUACAACAAGACAGAAAGCCAAUCCAGUCUCAAGAAGCAACUUUCAGGAGAUCAUCUGCUGACAAAACAGCAAGACGAUCUUCAAAAAUCCAGACAAAGGAAUUAGCUCACCUUCUCCAAUCUUCCAAACUUUGAUGAUUCAACCAAUACUCAAGGAAGAUUGGUGUCCUAUCCACGCGGUUACAAUAGAUGGAAAACCCAUCUAUACAGAUAAAAUAAACUAACAUUUCAUUUGGGAUGUAAAUUCCAAUAUGUGUGACCCAUACUGUGAUUGCUGGAUACAUGAUGGUGAGAUGGAUGAAGAUGUCAUCCGCCCUAAGAGAAAAAAGAAAGGUAGGUGUAAACCACCACCAUCUCCACAAAGAAAGCAAAAGAAGAAACAAAUAGGAAUGAUAAACAAAGAGAUUCAUUAUAAAAGAAUAGAAGAACAAAUACAAAAUAGAAAAGAAUCUAUACAUCCUCCAUUAGAAGCAAUAAAAAUAGAAAACAAUGGAAUUAUAUUUGAAACUUCACCCUUUAAAACAAUUAAAGCAUCCAAAUCAUGAAAAUAAAGAAAUAGGAAGAGUCCAAACUUAAUUAAACUUUAGUAAUCAAAUAUUACAUACUAUGGUUGAACAAUUAGAUAGAGUAGAAUUACAAGUGAGUAAAAAUCACCUCAGUACGUCUAGUGAAAUUAAUUCAUAUAAAAAUUACAAACUAGAUCCAAAAAGACCUAUUUAUAAAUUAAUAAAUGUACUUGAAAAAGAAUUAAAAGAAGCAAAAUUAAAAAAUAACUCAGAUGAAUUAAUAGAACAAUUAAAAAGGUAGGCAAUCACAAAUAAUUCACAAGUCAAUGUAUUAUCACAAGACCCCAAUGAGUUAGAAAUUAAAAAAAUUAAAAAUGUGAAAAAUACUGGUUACUUAGGUAAAACUAGAAAUUAUUAUCCUAGACCUAGCUAUCGAGACUUACAUUUUGAAGAAAGUUAUUAAAUGACCUCUGCAACCUAUAGUGGAGAUUCUAUUAUUGAAUGGAACAUAGAUGGACAUAGCGAACAAAACAUAUUAAAUAUUAUUCAGGUCAUGACUAUGGCAGCCACUCCCUUUAAAAUAUCAGGAAAAAAUACUAAUAAAAAGACAAAUUAUUAUUAAUCACUGGAUUCACUGGUCAAUUAAAAGGAUGAUGGGAUAAUAUAGUUAUUGAAGAAGAAAAAACUAUGAUAUUAACAACAUUUAGAUUAGAUAAUAAUGGAAUACCAAUAGAAGAUGACUCAGUAAAUACCUUAUUAUAUGCUAUCACGAAAGCCUUUGUAGGAGACCCAUUACAAUUACAAGAAAGGGCUGCUGAACAAUUAGUCAAUCUUCAUUGCCCUUCCAUGUCUGAUUAUAGAUGGUAUAAAGACAUGUUUAUGUCAAAAUUAUAUAUGAGACCAGAUGGAAAUGCGGAUUAUUGGAAAGAGAGAUUUUUAGCAGGAUUACCUAAAUUAUUUAGUGAGAAAGUUAAAAUGAAUAUUAAAUCAAAAUUUAAUGGAAUAAUUCCUUAUGGAACAUUAACCUUAGGACAAAUAUCGAAUUACGUAGUAGAAACUGGAAUAGGAAUAUGCACAGAUUUUAAAAUACAGAAUAAAAUUAGAUCAUAAGUAGGGCAAAGUAAAAAAGAAUUAGGAUCAUUUUGUGAAAAAUUUGGAAUAGAGACAAUUAAAGCUCUCAAUAAAAACAUAAAGAAAAGAUAUCCAAAACAAACAUUUAGACAUUAUAAGAAAAAUAAAAUUUUUAAUAAUAAUUACACCCCAAAGGAACCAAUAAAGAAAACACAUAAAAUUUUAAAAAACUAAUAAAAAAGUCUUUAAUAAACAAGAAAUUAAAUGUUUUAAAUAUGGAAGACUAGGACAUUAUGCAAAAAAUUGUAGAGUAAAACAAAAAAGUAAUGAAAUUAGUAAAUUAGAAAUACAAAAGGAAUUAAAGGAAAGUCUUAUUAAUAUCUUAGAAGGAAUUAUGUUGAUUGAUGAAUCCUCUAGUUCUUCGGAAGAAUUAUCUUAUGAAGAAGAAUAUGUUAAUAAUAUAUCAAAAAAGUUAGAAUCAGAAGAAAGUUCAAAAGAAGAUUAUUGUUUAGGUCCAGAAUUAUGUAACCGUAAUGAUUGUAUUUAAGGAAUUAAUAUGAUUACUACAGAUCAAACUAGUACUCUCAUAGAAAUAUUAAGAAAAAUGCAUGAUUCAGAUCAAAAGGAAAAAUUUAUGAUUCAGAUACAAGGAAUUAUAGAAAAAAAAAAAAAACAAAUAGAAAAGGAAAUAGUUCAUAAAGUAGAAUAUAAAGAAAUAAUGAAUAGAUUUAAAUCCGCUAUUACCCAAUCAAUUACUAUUAAAGACUUGCAGAAUGAAAUUACUUCUAUAAAAUAGGAAAUUCAAUUAUUAAAACAAAAGAAUUUAGAAUUAGAUGUUAAGUAUUUAGAAUUAAAAGGAAAAAAGUAUAUUGGAAUAACAACAUAAGUUAGAAAGUAGUAGUAAUAAUAAUGAAAUAAUGAAAAAAGAACCUUAUUAAUUUUUGUUAAAUAAAUUAAUUAUACACAAAUGGUAUUGCCCAAUAACUAUAAUUAUUAAAAAUAAAAAAUUUGAGUUUAUUGCAUUAUUUGAUUCUGGUGCAGACUCUAGUUGUAUCCAAGAAUGAUUAAUACCUACUAAAUAUUACGAAAAAACCCUACAAAGAUUAAGUGGAGCCAAUGGUUCUAGAUUAGGUGUUACUUAUAAAUUACCUGAUGCAAAGUUGUGUAAAAAUGGAAUUUGUUAUCAUACUCCAUUUUUAUUAGUAAAAGACAUUAGAGAAAGUGUAAUUAUAGGAAACCCUUUCUUAACAUUAAUAUACCCAUUUAGUGUAUCACAUGAAAGUCUUAUUACAAAAGCAUUAGGAAAAACAAUAAAAUUUGAAUUUGUUCAAAAACUCAAAAUUAAAGAAUUAAAUAUGUUACAUGAAGCAUCAACAUCAAGUCUUAAUAACAUUAAUUUAAUUUCUCAAAAGAAGAAACAAUUAGGAAUGAUAAAUAAAGAGAUUCAUUAUAAAAGAAUAGAAGAACAAUUACAAAAUAAAAUCAUACAAGAUAAAAUAAAAGAAUUACAAGAUAAAUUUGAAAAAGAAAUAUGUGCAUAUCACCCCAAUGCUUUCUGGACAAGAAAGAAGCAUGUGGUCUCACUUCCUUAUGAACCUAGUUUUAAUGAGAGAAACAUUCCCACUAAGGCAAGACCAAUACAAAUGAGUCAACAAUACCUAGAUUAUUGUAAAAAAGAAAUACAAGAAUACCUAGAUAAAGGGUUAAUAAGACCCAAUAAGUCUCCUUGAUUAGUUAUUAAUUAUAAACCAUUAAAUAAAGUAUGACAAUGGAUUAGAUAUCCAAUACCCAAUAAAAAAGAUUUAGUAAGUAGAUUACAUAGUUCAUCUGUAUUCUCUAAAUUUGACAUGAAAUCAGGAUAUUACCAAAUAGAAAUAGAAUAAAAGGAUAAAUAUAAAAUAGCCUUUGUAGUACCCUUUAGACAUUACGAAUGGAAUGUUAUGCCAUUUGAAUUAAAGAAUGCAGUCAGUGAAUUCCAAAGUAUUAUGAAUGACAUUUUUAAUAAUUACCAACAUUUUACUAUUGUAUAUUUAGAUGACGUAUUAGUUUUUUCAAAAGGUAUUAAUAAACACUUUGAACAUCUAGAAAAAUUCUUUAAUAUUAUUAAAGAAAAUGGAUUAGUGGUGUCAGCCAAGAAAAUGAAAUUAUUUCAGGAUAAUAUUAGAUUUUUAGGAUUAAACAUUUAUCAAGGAACAAUAACACCAAUUAGUAGGUCAAUAGAAUUUGGAGAAAAAUUUCCUAAUGAAUUAAAAAACAAAAUUCAAUUACAAAGAUUUUUAGGAUAUGUAAAUUAUGUAGCAUACUUUAUUCCCAACCUUAGGAUUAUAUGUUCACCUUUAUUUAAAAGAUUAAGAAAAAAUCCACCCAAAUGGGAUGAGACUAUGACCGAUAGUGUCAAAAUCUUCAAAUAAAUAAUUAAAAAAUUACAUUGCUUAGGGAUUCCAGACCCUCAAGCCCUAUUAAUAGUAGAGACUGACACAUCAGAGUUGGGUUAUGGAGGAGUGUUAAAACAAAAAUUAACAGAAAACCAAAAAGAGUAAGUAGUGGGAUAUUACUCUAGAAUAUGAAACACAUUCCAAUUAAAAUAUAGUACUGUUAAAAAAGAGAUUUUGGCAAUUGUUUUAUGCAUUACAAAAUUUCAAGAUGACUUACUUUCGAAGAAAUUUUUAUUAAAAAUUGAUUGUAAAACAACAAAAGAUGUUUUGCAAAAGGAUGUUAAAAACUUGGUUUCUAAACAUAUUUUUGCGAGAUGGCAAUAUUUACUUUCUUGUUUUCAUUUCAAAAUAGAACAUAUUAAAGGAGAGAAAAACUCAUUACCAGAUUUUCUUACAAGAAAUUUUUUACAGGAAAAGCACAAUGAGUCAUAAAGAUAAGUAUGGAAUCCCAAUUACAGAAAACAAAAUUACAAAAACACCCACUAUAAAAUAGGUAUUACAAACUCCCUCUUCUUCCUCCCAAUUACCAAACCAAAACAGGUUUACUCUAUUAACCUCAUUAGCAUUACUAUACUUUUACCCGACAACUUCCUUACAACCAAAAACAAUAAGACCCACAAUCCAAUCCCAAUUGAUCUCACCAUUACAAUUUGCCUUAAACACACCGUCCCAAUUAAAUACUCCAACACAAAAACCAAAAAAUUACCCUAUUACACACCCCCUAGUAACUUAAAUUGUCCAUUUAUAGAAAAGGAUUACAAGAAAAUACUUUUUUCUUGUGGAACCUGAAUAUUCAUUAAGCACAUAAUUAUUUCAUAUUGUUUCUCAUUAUUACCCUCACGGAUUUCAUUAUCUACCAGCCACCCCAGAGAAAACAAGAUUAUUCUAUGAGUUUGUUUUAGUUAAUACUGAUUAAAUUGAAAUAACUCAUACAUACGACAAGAGUGAUAAAUUGAAAAUUAUUUUUUCAAAAUUUAAAAUAUUAAAGGUAUUAUCACCAACAGAUUGGAAAGAUCACCUUACAUAAUUCAGAUAACACUAAUAAUUCAACUUAGUAAAAAGGUUAAUAAUACAUUGCAAAAGUCAAAAGUAAGCAUAAUGUUGCAUGCCUUGAUAAUGACGCCAAGAUAACGUGUUGCCUUUUUUCAAAAGUAAUCAUGAUGCUUUGUCUGGUGGUUUUGUCGUUUAAUGCCUUGGGUCAAGAGUGCGGUCACAUCUUGCCUUUAAUAAUUCAACUAACUUUAAUAAUUUAGAUUCCUUCUAUUCCAUAGCCAUCAUCCUCCUUUUGUUGAGUAAAACUUUGAGAUGAUUCUACAGAGUCUUCAUCAUUAUGGUCUGAUUCAAUAAUUGCAUAUUGUAAUUUAUUUAAAAAUUCUUUUUUAUUUGAAGAAGCUGAUAAUUCUGCCAUAAUCUUGGAUUUUUCAGCCAAGAAUUGUCCUUCUUUAAUUUUCUCUUUUGGCUUAAUAAGAAAUUUAAGAUCUCUUCGAAACCAUUCUAAGAGUGUGAGUCUUUUAAUAAUUCUAGAUUAAAUUUGUUCCACCAUUUAAUUUUAAUAACUCUGAAUACCCAAUUAAUAUUAGAAUGUGAUAAUUCUUUUGUAUAUGUCCAUGAGGUAAUCCAUGAAAUACCAAAGGUUUCAUGAAACAUUAAUAUCUUCAUAUGACCUGGAAAAUUAGUUUUUUUUUUUUAAUAAAUUCUUAGAAUGCCGAUCCAACAAAUUCUGGGUAAAUUUCUGGCUAUGGUCCCUAUUCAUUGAACCAUUUAAUAAACCAUAAUGGGAAAUGUAACGAAAUGGCUUUUUUAAACCAAAUUAACCAGGAAUGUUCAAAGAGUUCUUGUAAUAGCAGUUUUGUCCAUGCUUUCAUAUAAUCAUAAUAAAAAUAUUUCUGAGGAGUAAAUUUUAUGGAAUUUUUUUUUUAAUGCCGAAGGGUGAUCUUUCCAAUAUGUUGGUGAUAAUACCUUUAAUAUUUUAAAAUUUGAAAAAAUAUUUUUCUGUUUAUCACUCUUGUUGUAUGUAUGAGUUAUUUAUUUAUCACUCUUGUAAUAUUUUUUUAAUACCAUAUGUUGGAAAGAAAGGAGAAGGUCUUUCUGGCUGGGUAAAAUAGGUGGGAAUAGUAGGAGGAUUAACGAAAAAAAUUUCAACAGGCUUAGGCUUGUGCUCUUUAGAGGUUGUUAUGAAGUCAUCCAUUUCUUUUACUUGGGCUUGUAACCUUAUAAUUUCCCUUUCCUUUUGGUCAAAGUUUUUACCAAAGGUUUUUUCAUCUAACGUUUUCCUCAAAUCAUAGUACAGCUGAGAAACUUGGGCUUUGACGUUUUUAUAAUAUUUUUGCAUUUUUUGAGAUAAGACUUUGAAAUCUUCAUCUGUUUGUUCCAACUUCUCUGUGAUCUUCUCCAUCUUUGAUCAAGCUUUUGUAAGCUAACAUUAUGGGCAACCAUAUUUUCUGAUUGCCAGUUGAGGACUUCUUCAGCUUGAGUCAAAUGCUUUAAUUUCCCAUUAGGGUGUUGUAUGAAAAGUUUGGAUGACCUAUUUGUGAUAGGGUCAAUUUUUCUUUUUAAAGCAGGGAAAUGUUGAUCGUAUUCUGAGGCUGAUGAUGAUAUUAUGAAGCAAGGAAUUGGUUCAAUAUUUUUGGAAGGUUUUAUCGGGUCAUAAUGAUCUGAGGGAGACCAUCAGAUAAGGUUAGGAUCAUAUGGUGGAAUACGGUUUUCUUCUCUGAGGAUCCUAAUAGCUUCUUCGUAAAUUUGGAGAGAACGAGCUUUCUUGCGAUUUCCUACUCAAGGACCAUUAUCCGGAUCAUUCCUUCUUUGUGGAGGUGGUGGUGGUUUACACCUACCUUUCUUUUUUCUCUUAGGGUGGAUGACAUCUUCAUCCAUCUCAUCAUCAUGCAUCCAGUAGUCGCAGUCUGGGUCACACAUAUUGGGAUCUACAUCCUAAAUGAAAUGUCCGUCUAUUUUAUCUGUAUAGAUGGGUUUUUCCAUCUGUUGUAACCGCAUGAAUAGGACACCAAUCUUCCUUGAGUGUUGGUUGAAUCAUCAAAGUUUGGAAGAUCGAAGAAGAAGGUGAGCUGAUUCCUUCGUCUGGGUUUCUGAAGAUUGUCUUGAUUGUGUUGUCAACAGAUGAUCUUCUGAAAGUUUCUUCUUGAGACUUGAUUGACUUUCUGUCUUGUUGCAUCUUUUCGUAGUUUGUGAUCCAUUUAAGAGGAAUCAACUGUGCUAAUUCUUCUCUUGAUACUCUUCUAGGGAUUUGGACAAUAGAGGAUGUUUUUUCUUCUUUAUUGGUGAUUACCAAUAACGAAUCUGAAGAACAUCCUAUGAGCGGUAAAUCUAUCGAAUGAUUUUGAAGUCGAUAGAUUAUUUGGUGAUGGAGAGUGGCCGACAUGGCUUCCGGGACUUGGUCAGAUCUGGUGAUCUGAACUUGGACUUUUAGCCUUGUGGGUAAAGUACUAUCAUUAAGACUUACGUUGUAGUUUGGAAAGAUAGUGAUAACUACACUUCCUGCAUGCAAUGAAGUCAGAUCAGUUCCAAUUACUGCAUUUUCAUAGUGAAGAUUGCUAGAAUCUAACAGUACUGUCUUACAGAAAACAUGAAGGUUUUUCCUUACAUGGAGAGAAAGGAUAAAUCUGAUAGCUCCAAAGUGUAGAGCUGUGUAUCCUUCAUUUUUCCAAUGAUUUAUAAGAUUCUGAGAAAUCUCUAAAUCAACAUACUACUCUUGAUUUGUCGCCCUGAGGCUACACUGAUCAAGUCGUGAAGACUAAAUAUAUCCUUUCAUGUGAGGACAGUGAGUUGUGAUUAGGUUUAUGAUAGAUCUGGUGAAUGAUCUUUGUCUUUUAAAGAUAUUAUAAGGGCUCAGAAGAGGUGGUAUGGUUUAAAUUUUUUUUACAUCAUCAGGAACAUAAGUAUAUUCAAUAAGAUUUUCUAUCUUAUGGGAAUCAGUCUUUUUACAGGUUUUAGGAAGAGAUAUUGAAGAUGUGAUGGUAAUAGGUUGCUUUGAUUUAGUUGUUUCCAUGAUUAGGUGGUUUCCUUCCUUAUUCACUCUCCUUACUAUAUUCAUACCAUAGGCACCUCCUCUUUUACACGAGGCUCUGAUACCACACUUAUAAUAACUUAACAAUAUAUUUUAAAUUAAGUGCGAAUUAAAUCAUGAGUCUUUGAUCAUAGUUGGAACUAACGACAAACUUAGGCAGAGGAAAAACUCUUGACCAGAGGCGAUACCUUUUGGAGUAACUACUUAGAGACAACAUGACGAGAGACAAACUCUGAUUAGAGGCGAACUCUAACCAGAGGUUGCAUGACCAAGAGUAUAUAGG